ACACGGCCCAAACUCCUACGGGAGGCAGCAGUAGGGAAUUUUCGGCAAUGGAGGAAACUCUGACCGAGCAACGCCGCGUGAACGAUGAAGUAUUUCGGUAUGUAAAGUUCUUUUAUUGAAGAAGAAAAAAUAGUGGAAAAACUAUCUUGACGAUAUUCAAUGAAUAAGCCCCGGCAAACUAUGUGCCAGCAGCCGCGGUAAUACAUAGGGGGCGAGCGUUAUCCGGAAUUAUUGGGCGUAAAGGGUGCGUAGGCGGUUUAAUAAGUCUAUAGUUUAAUUUCAGUGCUUAACACUGUCCUGCUAUAGAAACUAUUAGACUAGAGUGAGAUAGAGGCAAGUGGAAUUCCAUGUGUAGCGGUAAAAUGCGUAAAUAUAUGGAGGAACACCAGAGGCGUAGGCGGCUUGCUGGGUCUUUACUGACGCUGAGGCACGAAAGCGUGGGGAGCAAACAGGAUUAGAUACCCUGGUAGUCCACGCCGUAAACGAUGAGUACUAAGUGUCGGGAUUACUCGGUACUGAAGUUAACACAUUAAGUACUCCGCCUGAGUAGUACGUACGCAAGUAUGAAACUUAAAGGAAUUGACGGGACUCCGCACAAGCGGUGGAUCAUGUUGUUUAAUUCGAAGAUACACGAAAAACCUUACCAGGUCUUGACAUACUCUGCAAAGCUAUAGCAAUAUAGUGGAGGUUAUCAGGGAUACAGGUGGUGCAUGGUUGUCGUCAGCUCGUGUCGUGAGAUGUUAGGUUAAGUCCUAAAACGAGCGCAACCCUUGUCAUUAGUUGCCAGCAUGUCAUGAUGGGCACUUUAAUGAGACUGCCAAUGAAAAAUUGGAGGAAGGUGAGGAUCACGUCAAAUCAUCAUGCCCCUUAUGAUCUGGGCUACAAACGUGAUACAAUGGCUGUUACAAAGAGUAGCUGAAACGCAAGUUUAUAGCCAAUCUCAUAAAAGCAGUCUCAGUUCGGAUUGAAGUCUGCAACUCGACUUCAUGAAGUUGGAAUCGCUAGUAAUCGCGAAUCAGCAUGUCGCGGUGAAUACGUUCUC
rnacentral:rRNA from 1 species